rnacentral:rRNA from 1 species
AACGAACGCUGGCGGCAGGCCUAACACAUGCAAGUCGAGCGAACCGCAAGGUUAGCGGCGGACGGGUUAGUAACGCGUGGGAACGUGCCCAAAGGUACGGAAUAGCCUCGGGAAACUGAGAGUAAUACCGUAUGUGCCCGAAAGGGGAAAGAUUUAUCGCCUUUGGAUCGGCCCGCGUUGGAUUAGGUAGUUGGUGGGGUAACGGCCUACCAAGCCGACGAUCCAUAGCGGGUUUGAGAGGAUGAUCAGCAACACUGGGACUGAGACACGGCCCAGACGCCUACGGGCGGCAGCAGUGGGGAAUCUUAGACAAUGGGGGAACCCCUGAUCUAGCCAUGCCGCGUGAGCGAUGAAGGCCUUAGGGUUGUAAAAUUCUUUCACCGGGGACGAUAAUGACGGUACCCGGAGAAGAAGCCCCGGCUAACUUCGUGCCAGCAGCCGCGGUAACAC